rnacentral:ncRNA from 1 species
GAGAGCCGGAUGCGGGAGAUCUGCAUGUCCGGUUCGACGAGCGGGAUGUGGAAACGGAGUUAGGGCGAGGUUAUUAGGGCACCGCCGAACGAAAGAGGCGGCAACAGACACACCGAACCUACUGCUACCGCGCCACAUCUCGACUCUAC